rnacentral:rRNA from 1 species
CCAUGAGGCUUCACUGUGUGUGUGCGGGGGAAACAGGACUUUUACUGUGAAAAAAUUAGAGUGCUCCAGGCAGGCCUAUGCUCGAAUACAUUAGCAUGGAAUAAUAGAAUAGGACGCGUGGUUCUAUUUUGUUGGUUUCUAGGACCGCCGUAAUGAUUAAUAGGGACAGUCGGGGGCAUCAGUAUUCAAUUGUCAGAGGUGAAAUUCUUGGAUCUAUUGAAGACUAACUACUGCGAAAGCAUUUGCCAAGGAUGUUUUCAUUGAUAAGGAACGAAAGUUAGGGGAUCGAAGACGAUCAGAUACCGUCGUAGUCUUAACUAUAAACUAUGCCGACUAGGGAUCGGACGAUGUUAUUUCUUGACGCGUUCGGCACCUUUCGAGAAAUCAAAGUGCUUGGGCUCCAGGGGGAGUAUGGUCGCAAGGCUGAAACUUAAAGAAA